rnacentral:rRNA from 1 species
ACAGAGGGUGCAAGCGUUGCUCGGAAUCAUUGGGCGUAAAGGGUAGGUAGGUGGUCUCGUUUGUCUGGGGUGAAAGCCCAGGGCUUAACCCUGGAAGUGCCCCGGAAACGGCGAGACUGGAGUCUUGGAGAGGGUCGUGGAAUUCCCGGUGUAGCGGUGAAAUGCGUAGAGAUCGGGAGGAACACCAGAGGCGAAGGCGGCGACCUGGACAAGUACUGACACUCAACUACGAAAGCGUGGGGAGCAAACAGGA